rnacentral:lncRNA from 1 species
CCAUAUGAAGGGAUGCAGGCGCUGCUUAGAAGCAGAGAGAUGCUCCCACCUAACAGCCAGCAAGUAAAUGGGAACCACCGACCUACAUCCACAAAGAGCUGAAUUCUGUCAACAAACUGAACGAGUUUAGAAUUAGAUUCUUCUCCAGAACCUCCAGAUAAAGGCCCAGCCUGGCUGAUGCCUUGACUUUGGUUUUGUGAAAUUCUAAACAGAGAACCCAGCCAGGCUUACUGAAUUUCUGACCUACAGAACUGUGAGAUAAUAAAAUGUGUUGUUUUAAGCUGCUAAAUUUUGGGUAUUGUGUUUGGCACCAAUAGAAAUGUAAUACAUCCUCUCAGAUUAAAAGGAAACCACGAAUCCCCUCUCAUUGGGCAAUUCAUGAAUCAAAAUAGCUGGAUCUCUUAUCUUCUACCCAUUUCCCCCAUAUAUUCCUAGGGUUAUCAUGAGAAAAUUUCAUGGAAUCCAAUUUCAGCUGUAUUUCCAAUUCACCAUGUGAAUGACUCUUCAUGCUCUGCCAGGUGUGUUCUGGUAACUGUUUCUCUUUGGGGAGCCAGGAAUGGCCAUUGACCAGUUGGGAAACCAAAGCUCAGAGUAAACUUAUGUAAGGUCAUAUAGAAAACGGGUGGUAGGGCUGGGCGCAGUGGCUCACGCCUGUAAUCCCAGCACUUUGGGAGGCUGAGGUGGACAGAUCAUGAGGUCAGGAAGAUGGAAACCAUCCUGGCUAACAUGGUGAAACCCCGUUUCUACUAGCCGUGUGUGGUGGCGGGUGCCUGUAGUCCCAGCUACUCGGGAGGCUGAGGCAGGAGAAUGGCGUGAACCCGGGAGGCAGAGCUUGCAGUGAGCCGAGAUAGCGCCACUGCACUCCAGCCUGGGCGACAGAGCGAGACUCUGUUUCAAAAAACAAAACAAAACAAAAAAAACAAAACAAACAAACAAACAAACAAAAAAAAAAAAAACAAAAGAAAAAUGGUGGUAGACCUGGGUUGUUUAAAUGUGUUUUAUUUAUUUUAAAAUUUCUUCUUUCCUUUAGGAAGCAGAGGUCUACUCUUCUGAGCAAGAUAAUUCUGAAGGUGCGGGCAAGGUAUUGUUCAGAGCUUGGAUGCUUGUCCCAAAUCAAAUAGUAGGAAAGGCAGCAGUAAGCAAACUUGGGUGGUCUCCUGAACAUGUCUGCAGCUUCCUUGCAUCCUGUGUUUGCUCUGGGUGAUGGUCCUCGUACCCAACUCCAUCAUUCAACAUUCCGCUCCUCCUUCAAGUUAGAAGUUUCCAGAUUACCUCUUCCAAGUGACUUGUAAGAUGAAUUCCUUCCCUCUUUUGAACUUCCAUGGUGUUUAUUUGUGCCUUUGUUAUACAUUUUUGAUUCUAUUUUCCACGUAUUUAAAAUAUGUCAUCUUGCCUAAUAGACUGUAAGUAACCGUAGGCUUGUGUGUCCCCAUCCUGCCCCACCAUAGUACCUCUUACUGCCAUCUUCCAUCAUAAAUGCUCUGUCAAUGUCUGUUAAGUGAACAGAUG